GAUGAACGCUGACAGAAUGCUUAACACAUGCAAGUCUUUGGCGAAGCUGUGCUUGCACAGCCUGGCCAAGGCGGACGGGUGAGUAACGCGUAAGGAACUUGCCCUGCAGUCAGGGAUAACAGACGGAAACGACUGAUAAGACCUGGUAAAGUCAGGCGGACUCAUGUCCAGCCUGAUGAAAAGAGAUGCUGCAGGAGAGCCUUGCGUCCUAUUAGCUUGUUGGUGGGGUAACGGCCCACCAAGGCGAUGAUAGGUAGCCGGCCUGAGAGGGUGGACGGCCACAAGGGGACUGAGAUACGGCCCUUACUCCUACGGGAGGCAGCAGUGGGGAAUAUUGGACAAUGGGGGCAACCCUGAUCCAGCAAUUCUGUGUGCACGAUGAAGGUUUUCGGAUUGUAAAGUGCUUUCAGCAGGGAAGAAAAAAAUGACGGUACCUGCAGAAGAAGCGACGGCUAAAUACGUG
rnacentral:rRNA from 1 species